GUGCAAGCCAUUUGCUGCAUGGGGUGGUUUCGCUGCUGGAUUUGUGAAGGUAUCUUAUGGAUGUGAUGCUGGCUUCUCCCUUUUGGCACACAAUCCUUUAUAGCAGUAGAUUUUCUCAUUUGAUGAUGUGUCAGCUGUAACUUCUCAACUACGUGUGUUGCAAUGAGAUAGCCAGUGGAACUUGCUUUGACAUCUGAUGUUAUUCCCUGGAUUACAUUCAGUGAUCUGUGGAGUCCAAGCAGUGCAGAAGGGAUGGGUCCUGACUGAGGCAUCACCUCUCCUGUAGCCUCGUGAAACCACUGGAAAAGAGUACAAAUGAAAAUGCCCAGUGAAGAGAAAGUGAAGCAGCAGGCAAAGUACAGACAAAGGUAUGAACCUCUGAGGAAAACAACUGUGGGCAAGAACGUGCAAAAUGCAGGACUCAAAUUAUCUGACUUUGUCCUUUCAAAUGUUAAGUCAAACAGGAAGCUUUCUUUUUCUCCCUUUUUUUCUUUUGGCAACUACUUCCCCAAGCGUCCUAUGGGGUGGAAAUGGGCAAUAAAUAGCAGGGUAUCUAAUGGCAUCAUUCCAGGCCUCCCAGCUACUGUUGUUGGCAAGGAAAUGGCUCUCCUUUUACUUCCUUCUUAUUUUUAGAGUGCUGAGUUUUCAGGGGGUGGAGGGAGGGUUGGCUAUUAUCAGUGAGAGUCAAACCACAGUGGCUGCCUUCCGCAGAGCUCUUACCACCCUGCCAAACUGGAGGAAGUUGGAGUCAUAUAAUUAACACCGCUAGUGGGUUUGCCUUGUAAGCGAGACUUCCUUUAGAUUUAAAAUGCAUGCAUGCAAAGCUGAACUGUCUCAUUCCUAUAGAAUCUCUGUUUUAAAUAUGUUCACAUUUUUGUCUUUUUCCUUCUUCCCCUGCUGCCACUUCUUCAAGUCUAAAAAUGCUCUCUGGAGAGAUG